UACGAAGGGGACUAGCGUUGUUCGGAAUUACUGGGCUUAAAGGGUGCGUAGGCGGACCCGCAAGUGCUUCGUGAAACCCCACGACUCAACCGUGGAAUCGCUUGGCAGACUGCGGGUCUUGAGGUCGGUAGGGGCCGCCGGAACUCUAGGUGGAGCGGUGAAAUGCGUAGAUAUCUAGAGGAACGCCGAAGGUGAAGACAGGCGGCUGGGCCGAUUCUGACGCUGAGGCACGAAAGCGUGGGGAGCGAACGGG
rnacentral:rRNA from 1 species